rnacentral:tRNA from 1 species
GGAAAGUGAACCGCGAUCGGUCGCGGGACCGCCUUGAAAGCGGGUCGGGCGCGCCUGCGCCAGGGGUUCGAAUCCUCCGCUUUCC